AACAGAUUGCAAGUUGGUGUCUUUAAUAGCUUAUUAGCUAAUCCAAAUUCUGACGGAGCUUGCAAUCUGUUUAGAUGGUUACAGGGUACCUAAGUAACUUGUGGAAUUUGUAUGAUAGGAUAGGUUAUAUUGUAUUUUGUAU